GACGAACGCUGGCGGCGUGCUUAACACAUGCAAGUCGAACGGUGAAGCGCCUUCCUUUUUGGUUGGUGUGGAUGAGUGGCGAACGGGUGAGUAACACGUGUGUAACCUGCCCCCUUCUUCUGGAUAACCGCAUGAAAGUGUGGCUAAUACGGGAUAUUCUGGGUCUGUCGCAUGAUGGGUCUGGGAAAGAUAUUGUUUCGGUGGGGGAUGGGCUCGCGGCCUAUCAGCUUGUUGGUGGGGUGAUGGCCUACCAAGGCGGUGACGGGUAGCCGGCCUGAGAGGGUGGACGGUCACACUGGGGCGGAGACACGGACCAGACUCCGACGGGAGGCAGCAGUGGGGAAUAUUGCACAAUGGGCGCAAGCCUGAUGCAGCGACGCCGCGUGAGGGAUGGAGGCCUUCGGGUUGUGAACCUCUUUCGCCAGUGAAGCAGGCCUGCCUCGUUUGUGGGUGGGUUGACGGUAGCUGGAUAAGAAGCGCCGGCUAACUACGUG
rnacentral:rRNA from 1 species